rnacentral:rRNA from 1 species
AUUUAACGCUGGCGGCAGGCCUAACACAUGCAAGUCGAACGAGUGGCGGACGGGUGAGUAAUGUCUGUGAAACUUCCCGAUGGAGGGGGAUAACUCCUGGAAACGGUAGCUAAUACCGCAUACCAUCGGAUGUGCCCAGAUGGGAGUAGCUAGUAGGUUGGGUAACGGCUCACCUAGGCGACGAUCCAUAGCUGGUCUGAGAGGAUGAUCAGCGACACUGGAACUGAGUAACGGUCCAGACUCCUGCGGGAGGCAGCAGAAGCGAAUAUUGCACAAUGUGAGCAAGUCUGAUACAGUCAUGACGCGGGUAGGAAGGAGGCCUUAGGGUGGUAAAGUACUUUCAGCGAGGAGGAGUUGCUCGCAGAAGAAGCACCGGCUAACUCCGUGCCAGCAGCCGCGGUAAUAC